rnacentral:rRNA from 1 species
GAUGAACGCUAGCUACAGGCUUAACACAUGCAAGUCGAGGGGCAGCGGGAUUGAAGCUUGCUUCAAUUGCCGGCGACCGGCGCACGGGUGAGUAACGCGUAUCCAACCUUCCGUACACUCAGGGAUAGCCUUUCGAAAGAAAGAUUAAUACCUGAUGGUAUGAUGAGAUCGCAUGGUAUCAUCAUUAAAGAUUUAUCGGUGUACGAUGGGGAUGCGUUCCAUUAGGUAGUAGGCGGGGUAACGGCCCACCUAGCCUACGAUGGAUAGGGGUUCUGAGAGGAAGGUCCCCCACAUUGGAACUGAGACACGGUCCAAACUCCUACGGGAGGCAGCAGUGAGGAAUAUUGGUCAAUGGACGAGAGUCUGAACCAGCCAAGUAGCGUGAAGGAUGAAGGUCCUACGGAUUGUAAACUUCUUUAUAAGGGAUAAAACCUCCCACGUGUGGGGGCUUGUAUGUACCUUAUGAAUAAGCAUCGGCUAACUCCGUGCCAGCAGCCGCGG